UACGUAGGAGGCAAGCGUUGUCCGGAAUUACUGGGCGUAAAGCGCGUGUAGGUGGUGGGACAAGUCUGCUGUGAAAGCGCCUGGCUUAACCGGGCGAGGUCGGCGGAAACUGUCCGACUCGAGGACGGUAGAGGGGGGGUGGAAUUCCCGGUGUAGUGGUGAAAUGCGUAGAGAUCGGGAGGAACACCUGUGGCGAAGGGCGGCCCCCCUGGGCCGGCCCCUGACACUGAGACGCGAAGGCGUGGGGAGCGAACAGG
rnacentral:rRNA from 1 species